UGUUGAUCGUGUCGAGAAAACUAUUUGAUGUGCGUCAAGCAUUGAGUUGGUAAACACAGUAACCUGUAUAAGGUUGGAAUUCUUCUCUAACUCUGGGCGUGGGCCUGAGGGUGUUCAACCGCAUCAACGCAUUCCGGGCUUGAUCCAGGCAGGAUUGGUGGAUCGUUCACCACUCGUAUUGAGAGCCAGUUAAGUGUGCUGCAGAAAUUUGUCCGUUGCUGUCUUGCUGCUGUGCGGCGGCUUGACUGUGCUGCUGUGUUGCGGAAAAGUAAUUCGCUUCUCUUCAAGGGCAUUGGACUGUGCGUGUUUAAGUCGCAUUAUAGCGAAUUAAUUGUGUGUGUGAGGGAGUGUGUGUUUGUAUGGAGUGUGAGCGUGUGGUUGUUGUUGUGUGUGUGCGUGUGCGUGUAAGAUUAACCGAUGGUGUUUUUGUUGUUUAUUUUGUUUGAUCUAAUUGUAAUUUUGUUUUGUUGUGAGAAUUAUGUGUGGCUAUUGUUAUUUUUGAUUGUCAUUUCCCUUCUAACCAACCAGGGCUAUCAUCUGUGGGGAGGAUUUAUUGUUUUUUUUUUUGUUGUUGUUGUUUGGUUUGUUUGUAGUGUGGGUUUUGGUUAUUUAUUUAUUUUGAGUGAGGGUCAUUUUAUUUUGCUUUAUUGGUUUGUGGGGAAGUGUUAA